rnacentral:misc_RNA from 1 species
AAGUCGUAACAAGGUUUCCGUAGGUGAACCUGCGGAAGGAUCAUUACUAAAGGAUCGUUGAGGCUUUGUCCUCACGCUCUAUGACCCUUGCUUUUUGCUAGAUUAUUUUCCUUAGGAAGCUUGCUUGCUAGGGUUAUAUUAAAACUCUUCAUAACUAUGUAAUAUUCAGUCUUAAAAACUUACAACUUUCAACAAUGGAUCUCUUGGCUCUG